rnacentral:rRNA from 1 species
GACGAACGCUGGCGGCGUGCUUAACACAUGCAAGUCGAACGGAAAGGCCCUGCUUUUGUGGGGUGCUCGAGUGGCGAACGGGUGAGUAACACGUGAGUAACCUGCCCUUGACUUUGGGAUAACUACAGGAAACUGGGGCUAAUACCGGAUAGGAGCUCCUGCUGCAUGGUGGGGGUUGGAAAGUUUCGGCGGUUGGGGGUGGACUCGCGGCUUAUCAGCUUGUUGGUGGGGUAGUGGCUUACCAAGGCUUUGACGGGUAGCCGGCCUGAGAGGGUGACCGGCCACAUUGGGACUGAGAUACGGCCCAGACUCCUACGGGAGGCAGCAGUGGGGAAUAUUGCACAAUGGGCGGAAGCCUGAUGCAGCAACGCCGCGUGCGGGAUGACGGCCUUCGGGUUGUAAACCGCUUUCGCCUGUGACGAAGCGUGAGUGACGGUAAUGGGUAAAGAAGCACCGGCUAACUACGUG